rnacentral:rRNA from 1 species
GACGAACGCUGGCGGCGUGCUUAACACAUGCAAGUCGAACGGAAAGGCCCUGCUUUUGUGGGGUGCUCGAGUGGCGAACGGGUGAGUAACACGAGAGUAACCUGCCCUUGACUGUGGGAUAACUUCAGGAAACUGGGGCUAAUACCGGAUAGGAGCUCCUGCUGCAUGGUGGGGGUUGGAAAGUUUCGGCGGUUGGGGGUGGACUCGCGGCUUAUCAGGUUGGUGGUGGGGUAGUGGCUUACCAAGGCUUUGACGGGUAGCCGGCCUGAGAGGGUGACCGGCCACAUUGGGACUGGGAUACGGCCCAGACUCCUACGGGAGGCAGCAGGGGGGAAUAUUGCACAAUGGGCGGAAGCCUGAUGCAGCGACGCCGCGUGCGGGAUGACGGCCUUCGGGUUGUAAACCGCGUUCGCCUGUGACGAAGCGUGAGUGACGGUAAUGGGUAAAGAAGCACCGGCUAACUACGUG